UACGUAGGGUGCGAGCGUUAAUCGGAAUUACUGGGCGUAAAGCGUGCGCAGGCGGUUUUGUAAGCCAGAUGUGAAAUCCCCGGGCUUAACCUGGGAAUGGCAUUUGGGACUGCAAGGCUCGAGUGCGGCAGAGGAGACUGGAAUUCCUGGUGUAGCAGUGAAAUGCGUAGAUAUCAGGAGGAACACCUGCGGUGUAGACGGCUUUCUGGACCAUUACUGACACUGAGACACGAAAGCGUGGGUAGCAAACAGG
rnacentral:rRNA from 1 species